rnacentral:lncRNA from 1 species
AGGUGAGCGAGGGGGAGGGGGGGUCGGUGAAGGGAGGGUUUGGGGAAGAGGCCGUCUACCCCUGUCCGCCCGCCCCAGCCCCCUCCCGCUUCGGCCCGCGCCCCCGCCCACUCCACUCAGCGCGGCCGGCGGCAGGCAAAACAACACGUGACCGCUGCCUCACGCGGGGGCCGCGGCGGCUCCUGCUACCGGCGCAGUGGAGGGGCUCGAGCUGCCACUAGUAGAGUCUGGUCCACUCGCUCCCGCCGCGCACGCCAAGCUGAGCGUCUUGGGAGAAAGUGUGGGCACCCCAUGGAAACGUGUGUUAACGACCGGGGGCCCUCAGACUUGCCGCCCACGGCGCUUCAGCCUCUCUCGAGCCCGCUCCAGCCCUGACAAAAGCCCGCGACUCUAAGGCACACGAAUAACAGCGAUGCCUUCAAAAUGAACAUAAUCUCUAAUCAGAGCUAAUUUCUAGCCCACGAAACUCAGGUUGGCUAAAGAUGGUGUUUCUGGCUAUUUGAUUAAUGAUGACUAUGAAAGCACAAAUUUGGGGGCCUGCAAAGUAUACAGCCGUGUUGAAAAAAAUCGGACUCGAUUCUUACUGAAAUACACCAGUGUUGAGCUGUCGUGAUAUCUUCCCGUGGGAGAUGCUUUGAAAGGCGCCUUUAAGAGAAUUUCAAAAUAAUGUUGUUUCUCUUUCCUUGAAUGAGACCCAAAAAGUUUAGAAAAAGAAAAGCUCACACCUAGAACAAAGGAUCAUACCGAAUACAUAUCCUAGAAUGUAUUUUACAUCCCUCGCGUCAAGAAAAGAAGAUUUUUGCUGAAUUUCAGUCUACAACUUGACAUCACAAAAAUAAGAACUACUGCCUCUCUUGUUUCUGGAAAAACUGCUGGAGUGUAAGUGCAACCUCCUAAAGUGUUUCUCAAUCCCUCUCUCUCUCUCUCUCUCUCUCUCUCUCUCUCUUUACUAGGAUUUCAGCUUCCUAAGAGUGGAGAUGGGUCGAUAUUACAUUAAAAUGUCAAAGGAGGGAUCGCAAUUGCAAAGAGGGAUUUGAGGGUGAAAAAAAGGAGACAUAUGGUAUUUCUCUCUAAAAGAAUGGAAUGCCGUUCACCUUUGCCCUAGGGUAGAUGCUGCAAAGGGUAUUAUUUAUAAAAUCUAACAGUAAACUAGGCAAUGUAUACAUCGUAAAAAUAAACCCCACCCCUGCUUUCUUAAAAAUUUGUUC